CCAUAAAUGCCUCUGUCAGCAUAGCCGGUCUUAGGGAGAAGGUUUGGAUACGGAACCACCAGAUUAUGAAGCAGUAUUGCUGAAGACUCGACUCUAGAGGGCGUCAUUCGGUAUGUGAACCCUUGGGAUACUGGAGCGAAACCUACAAAUUUGAAACAGCCUUAGCUACCGCAUAUGUUUUCUGGAUACCUCUGGUUGCUAUCUUAUGGAGGUCCUCCGACUCGUUCUGCAAGCAUGAAGAGAGACAACCGAGGUUGGAAAGGGGAAGCCAUUUUGAGAGCAAUAGUUGGGACCAGUCUGCACCAUCAUUCUGUGACCUACAUGAGCUAAAAUAUUAUGAAAAUGGCUGUCUUGCAGCAAGUCCUGAGUUCAGUUCGAAGAUGCUUCUUAUGAGUAGUAAACACAAGAUAAACACGAGUGGUGGUUAUCAUCUUUGCAAGCAACAGUUGCCGGCAGGUAAGACACUAGCACUGUUCGUCACAGUAGACUGCCGAUUGGCACCAAUGUUACAGUUGACUUCUAUUUUGUGUUCUCCAACACAAGUAUAAAUUUCUGCCUGAGUGGAGACUCAUAUUUUAUUUGGGAACUAAACUCCGUUAAGUAAGUAAGAGCAUCUGCAAAUCUUAAUUUGAUCUUGUGACUGCCUUCCUGGACUGAAACAUGACUUCUAGAAACGUAAAACACGAGACAUGUGUCUUUCAUUUUCACGAUAGAUAGGGCAGUUGGCGCCGGGCAGUAAGCGGAACUUGUAUUGCAUAGCAAUGAACAUGGCCGCAAUUCAGACACGUGGUGUUAAAUAUCAGAAGUUUCAUGUCUGUCUAAAAGUA